CAGUAGCCACGGUAAAACGGAGGGUGCAAGCGUUAAUCGGAAUUACUGGGCGUAAAGCGCACGCAGGCGGUCUGACAAGUCAGAUGUGAAAUCCCCGGGCUCAACCUGGGAACUGCCUUUGUGACUGCAAGGCUAGAGUACGGCAGAGGGGGAUGGAAUUCCGCGUGUAGCAGUGAAAUGCGUAGAUAUGCGGAGGAACACCGAUGGCGAAGGCAAUCCCCUGGGCCUGUACUGACGCUCAUGCACGAAAGCGUGGGGAGCAAACAGGAUUAGAUACCCCAGUAGUCCCUGUCUCUUAUAC
rnacentral:rRNA from 1 species